UACGGAGGGUGCGAGCGUUGUCCGGAAUCACUGGGCGUAAAGGGCGCGUAGGCGGCGAGGUAAGUCAACUGUGAAAGCUUGGGGCUCAACCCCGAGUCGGCCGUCGAUACUUCCGUGCUCGAGCACUGUAGAGGCAGGUGGAAUUCCGGGUGUAGCGGUGGAAUGCGUAGAGAUCCGGAAGAACACCGGUGGCGAAGGCGGCCUGCUGGGCAGGAGCUGACGCUGAGACGCGAAAGCGUGGGGAGCGAACAGG
rnacentral:rRNA from 1 species